GAUGAAGAACGUAGCGAAAUGCGAUACGUAAUGUGAAUUGCAGAUUUCAGUGAAUCAUCGAAUCUUUGAACGCACAUUGCGCCCGCCAGUAUUCUGGCGGGCAUGCCUGUUCGAGCGUCAUUUCAACCAUCAAGCCUUCGCUUGUGUUGGGGCCCCGCGGCUGCCGCGGUCCCCUAAAUCCAGUGGCGGGCUCGUCGUCGUACCGAGCGCGGUAGACAUCCUCGCUCCGGGAACCCGACGGGUGCCGGCCGUGAAACCCCCCACAUCAAGGUUGACCUCGGAUCAGGUAGGAAUACCCGCUGAACUUAAGCAUAUCAAUAAGCGGAGGA
rnacentral:misc_RNA from 1 species